AGGGAUAAUGUGUCAGCACAUGUUGUUUUUCUAUGAGGGAACUCGAACUGUGAUCUGCUUCGUGGCCAAUCCGGCUCCUGAGGUUGUUGUGUCAAAGCAGGCCAGGCUAACUGAGCUAGCAUCCAGCCUGAGGCUAACGGACGCUGGUUCUCCUGGUGAGCGAGGAUCUGAUCCAUGACACUCGGUCCCGGUCGCUGACAGACCAACAACCAGGUAACAGACAUGUACACAACAUGUAAACAACAUGUAGCUAAGCUAGGUGGCUAACAGGCCGACUAGCUGCUCGGCUCCCCGCACAGCGGCCGCUUCCGGGCGGAUAAACGCACAGCGCGGCCCCGGUGGCUUCUUACCGAAGGUCCUCCUCUGUUUGAAGGGUCUGUCGGACGGCAUCUCUCCGGCGGCUGGUGACACGGGUGUGGGUCGGUGAGUGUUCUGGAGCCGCUGCUGAUGAACUCGCUGAACAGUGUUCGAUUCCCCGAUGACUCUGAAGAGCAAUCUGCUCCCGACCAACAAAGCGAGCCCACCCAGCGGUGACGUCAUGCGCUGCAGUUAAAGGGGACGUUCACCAAGUUUGACUGAUUUCGCAGUUCUGCAGUUAUAAACAGUUAAUAACAGUUAACGCUCACCUACUGACACAACAGACACGCAAUGCACAUAAAACACACAAUGAUGAAAUACAGACAGAGUUAAAGAAUGACACAAACCAACCCCCCAAAAAACACUGCCAAAACCAACACACCCAUAGACACAACCAAAAAGAGGCAAAACAGACACACAAUGCCAAAAAGAGAAGCACACAAUUAAAACAAAGACCAGAAAAUUGACCAACAUGAACAUGAAUCUUCCAACAUGACCGACAAAGACAUAGAUCGACCAAAAUAUAGAGAAAACUGAACAAAAUGACAAACUGCUCAAGACUGUUUGUAUUUUCACUUCUUUGUCUCGUACUUUAACUUCCUCUCUGUCGGUGUACAUGACACUAAACCGGAUCCUGAAGCGCACCACAGAAAACAAGACACUGGAUCUUUUUCUCCAUUUUUUAAUUUGUAAGAAAUAACCAACAGGAAGUGGACCUGACGCUGACAUUCUGCCCUUCAGCAUCUCUAAACAACACAACAAUAAAUUACGUCCAGAGAUUUUCAUGAAGGUUUAACUGAAACAAAAAGAUAUUUUACUCUAAAUUUGCUAUGGUCUCUCUCUCUUCUUUAUGAACGUGCAGCUGAGGUAUUUUAGCAGACGUGUAUUUUCCCCAUGUGCUAAAAUACAUGCAUGA